AAAGAUUAAGAGAAGUGAUGGAUGAUCUUAUUGGCCCAAUCCAAUGUAGUUUUGUUCUAGGGAGACAAAGGCGGGAUAAUAUUAUUAUUGUUCUAAGAAAAAGGAAAAAGGUGAUAAAGGAUGGAUGACUAUUAAAAUUGAUUUGGAGAAGGCUUACCAAAGGAUGAGAAGAGAGUUUAUUAAGGAUACUUCGAUUGAUGUAGGGCUACCAAAUUCUUUUGCGAACAUGGUGUGGUUUUGUAUCUCUACUCUAUCUAUAAAAGUCCUUUGGAAUGGUGAGGUUUUGGAUGAUUCCUUUAGGCCGACUAGAGGGAUUUGUCAAGGAUGGAUUGUUCGUGAGAAGAUUAGUGAUGCUUUUCCAACAUACGAAUAAGCUUGGCAAAUAUUUGGGAGUGCAAUUACAUCAUGAGAGAGUGUCCAGAUCUACCACAAGGAGUGUCAUUGAGAAAAUGAAAAGAAGGCUUAGGUCAUGGAAGGUUAGAAUGUUAUCCUUUUCUGGUAGGCUAACUCUUAACUAGAUUUGUGCUUACUGUAAUGCGCUCCUAUGCUAUGCAAUCUGUUUUCCUUCCUCAAAGUGUAUUUGAUGAGAUUGGUCAGGUUUGUAAGAACUUUUUGUGGGGUGAUAUUGAUCAUAGUAGGAGUAUGCAUUUGGUGUCUUGGAACCAGGUGUGUAAACCCAAAUAUGUUGGAGGGUUGGGAAUUAGAAAGGCUCGUCGUGUAAAUGAUAGUUUCAUGUAUAAAAUUGUCUAGGAUCUUUGUACUAAAAACUCUCAUUUAUGGGUGAAGGUAGUUAGAUAGAAGUAUGGUUGUGGAGAGGAUAUUGUUCCCCUUAUUAAUAGGAACAAGGUUGGUUAAAAUGUUUGGGCUGGAGCUCGGUGCAGAACAAUAUUAGAUGGAGGGUAGGGGAUGGUCAUGAUGUGCUUUUUUGGAUUGAUAGUUGGGUUCUUGGUGUUGGGUCCUUGCUGGGUAAGCAAAUAAGCACCUUGGGUAAUCAAGAUUUGACUAUGAACGUAAGUGAUUUUGUGGGGGAAGAUGGUAGAUGGGAUAUUAAUCUCAUGCUACAAUUCCUUCCCAGUUCUAUGUGUGCGAGUAUUUGCAGUUUGACUCCCCCUAAUUUUGAGCAAGGAAGAGAAAAUAUCUAGGAAAAGCACGAAUGAUGGUAUAUUCUCGAUGCAUUUUGCUUAUAGUUACCAGGUAUUCACAAUGGAGCCACUGAAGAUUCCCCUGUUCAAUUCAAUACGGCGUUGGAAAGGUCCGGAGAGGAUAAGGGGCUUACUUUGGAACAUAGGGAAGAAUUGUCUCAUGACUAAUUACAAAAGGUGGAGAAUGGGCAUUGCUAUUGUUGCAACAUGUCCAAUUUGUCAGAACCAAGAGGAGUCCAACAUGUCCAAAUUGUCUCAUGACUACCACUAGCUCGGUCCCUUGUAUAUGGCAAAGCUUUUUACCCCCAUCAGUUUUAGCUACUUUUUUUGCAGGUGACAUCCAUUUUUGGAUGCAAAGAAAUCUUGACAAAGUGUUAUCUGGUGUGUAAAAUUUAUCAAAGUUAUCAAACUUAUGUGUAAGUUUGAUGAACUUGUCUUGAAAGAAAUAAAAGAGUACAAUCAAAAUGUGAACAAAAAUUUAAGAAGUUGAAUGCGGUAUGGAAAGAACAAAAAUACAAUUAUUUAGUAAAAAUUACUUAAUUUGUUAUAAAAAUAUAUUCCUUCCGAGGAGUAAGUACAAUUUUUAUGACUAACACAAAGGUCACCAAGUGCAACAUGAGUGGUCCCAAAUCUUUGGGAUGGUUCUUGAUCACUUGUGGCGUAGAAGGAAUAAUUUCGUGCUUUAGAAUACUUUGACUUCUCCAACCAUUAUCUCAAUCCAAGUGGAGUGUUCUUUAAGGUAUUGGAAAGCUUCAGUGGGGUUGAAGGAUGAUUUUAGCAUUGGCCCUGACUCUAUAAACCAUUCGUCUAUCCAUUCUUGGGGUUCAGCAAGCUUAGGUAGAAUCAAGGUCAAUAUCGAUGGUGCAAUUCGGAUUAGAGAUCAUCUUGCGACAUGUGGUGGAGUUGCUAGGAAUCAUCACUAUGGGCGUUGUAUGUAUAGGUUUAUGAUUCAUCUUGGGAAUGUUCAUGUGAUCUUUGAGGAACUCUGGGUUAUUUUUCAUGGUCUCAAACUAGCUUUGGAUAGAGGACAGUGGAGUCUGAUGCUUUCAAUUUGGUGAAUGACAUUCGAAAUAUGGCAAAGCUUCCUCUAAGGUUCUUGCUGCUUCAUAUCUCCAGGGAUAACAACUUAGUGGUUAAGGAAGCCUUCUCUUCCAAUGAUCCUUCUUGUGUACACACUAGUUCCCCAUUGAAGCGUGGCGCGAGACUUCUUAUGGAAACAACACUAGUUUAACUGCUUGUUGUCUUUAUUUGAACUAGCCAAAACAAAGCGUGCUGCAUCCGCAUUUCUACUCUACUGUCAUAUUUUAUUAUUGUGGUAAAAUUUAUAUAUUUAAAUAAUAUAUUUUAUUAACUGUAAAUUCA